ensembl:lncRNA
AGAAAUAUUAGCAAUCUCAGGGUCAUAACAUACUCACCGGGGCAGCACAAGGGAGGAUUAUUUUCAUGUGAUGCAAGUGACGACAAGAAUGUUUGUGCAGAGGCAGAAAGGUACAGAGACAGAGAGAGGCAGAAAGGUUCAGAGACUCAGAGACACAGAGAGGCAGAAAGGUUCAUAGACUCAGAGAGGCAGAAAGGUACAGAGACACAGAGACACAGAGAGGCAGAAAGGUUGAAAAACACAGAGAGGCAGAAAGGUUGAGAGACACAGAGAGGCAGAAAGGUUCAGAGACAGAGAGACACAGAGAGGCAGAAAGGUGCAGAGACACGGAGAGGCAGAAAGGUUGAGAGACACAGAGAGGCAGAAAGGUGCAGACACAGAGGGCUACAGAGCAAUGAACAGACUUCCAGUUUCAACUCACCCUGGAAACUUUCCUGCGUGCUCUGGGCCGCUUCCCUCGUAUUACUCCCUGCCAGCAGGUGUCCCAGUGAGCGUCCCACCCUAAUGUGUGAAUGAUUGGAAACGGUAGGAGGUGAAGUGGGGGGAUAUGUGCUUUGAGAGAGGAAACCUGCUCUCAGGAUGUGAGGUGGAUUUAACUGCUAUGACAUCCUUUUACAAAUAAACGGUCG